GGGAACCCGCAGGGGCUGCGCCUCGGACCGUUCGCCUGCGCGGGGCGGGAGGAAGCGAGGGAAGGAGGGAAGGAGGCGGUGCUGGGGCGGUGAUCAGCCCCGGUCGGCCGGGAAUCGAGUCCGGCCGCUCCGCCCUCCGCGGCCGGGGCGCUGCGGGCAAUGCGCGUCCGCCUCAGGGGCGGCGGGAGAACGGCCGGGCCCGUGAGGGCUGAGGAGGAGGUGGUCUUUCGUGCUUCCAUAAGGACAAUAGUUUCUUUGGCUGAAACAUCCCGUCCAGAGGGUUACAAUAAAACACUUUGCACUUGAAUUGUUUGCCUUCCUGACCCCUCAGCUUUCUGCCAGCUUCUGACUGUGCCUGCAACCACAAUAAUGCUAUGACUAACUUAAUUAGGAAAAAAAAAGGAAGAAAAAUGUAGAAAAACCUUUCUGUCCUGUGAAAGGAAAGCUGUUGCUGCUGUGAGAAUUGCUAUUCCUGCUGGCAGAAAGGCAGGAGGUUAAUGAGAACCCCUCCUUGAGGGUUGGUUUUCUCAAUUUUCUCAUGUGCACAGGAACAAGCCAAAGGUGAGCUACACUGUUUCUUGAUGAAGAGCAAUGAAUUAAUUUUAAACUCCAUCAUUCAUUCCAUAGAACACAGAAAUUUAGUGUAAUUGUGUCCUCACUCUGUACUGACAGUGAAAAAUAACUUUCUGAGACAUGGAUUCUCUUUGAUUUCAUCGGUGUCAUGUUACGAUAGGGCAGAGCAGCACAGGGAAAAGUGUAAGGAGCACAUUUGGAGCAAGAGAUACUUUUCUUGCAUCACCAGUGUCUCCCCUCCAGAAUCUGAAUUACCCCACGGCCUUGAGAGGGGACAGAAAGGCUGGAGAGAUUUAAAAUUCCAGCACUCUGCCCGUGGGGACGAACUAGAUGCACCAAGGGUCUGUAACAUACGCUCGGUGUCACGCCCACGUGCCCUCCUGAGCACUGCAGGUUCCACGGGAAGGUCAUGCCUGUCACUCUUUGGCCCCAUCCUUCUGGCACAGAGAGUGAGAACAGCUACAGGCUCGUGUUACCCAGGGGCAUUAACUGUGCUGGGUGGAAUGCCCAGCUUAUUUCUUUGAAUGAAUGUAUGUGUAUCCCACAGUGCCAUCCUUAUGUUAACCUACCAGCACAGCCAGGAGAGGCAGUCGAAGAACAAACUCAGUUUUUAUUAAAAUGAAACGCUCUGUUUUGACCCUGGUGUUAAGGACUCAGUUAUUGUCAUAUAUAAGAUGGAGAGUUUGAAACAUGCUGUCUGUGGUGCCAAGAGAAUUGC